CGUUCCAGUAAUGCAUUUGCACGUUUACUCUCCAACUGUAAAUGCAUUCUCUGGGAUGCU
rnacentral:pre_miRNA from 1 species